rnacentral:rRNA from 1 species
UACAGAGGGGGCAAGCGUUGUUCGGAAUUACUGGGCGUAAAGGGCUCGUAGGCGGCCAACUAAGUCAGACGUGAAAUCCCUCGGCUUAACCGGGGAACUGCGUCUGAUACUGGUUGGCUUGAAUCCGGGAGAGGGAUGUGGAAUUCCAGGUGUAGCGGUGAAAUGCGUAGAUAUCUGGAGGAACACCGGUGGCGAAGGCGGCAUCCUGGACCGGUAUUGACGCUGAGGAGCGAAAGCCAGGGGAGCAAACGGG